rnacentral:sRNA from 1 species
UAAAUGUCUAUUUUUAUGACAGAUUACCGGGAGAACAUGUUAUAUAUACAGCCUUACAUAUAUUUAAAAACUAUUUUUCCCCAGGAGUCUAUGAGAGGCUCUAAAGACCCUGUAUUAUGGAGAAAGGGGAUGCUAUCGUAGCCCUCAAGCAGCGUAUGACCAGGGUGACGCCUCUUCAAGACGAACCCAAUUUCGCAACAUCUGAUGAAACUAUUGUACGUUUCUUGAAGGCUAAUGAUUGGAAGUACAAAGAUGC